UAUCUCGAAAAACCAAAAGACUGCUUUUU
rnacentral:piRNA from 1 species